rnacentral:rRNA from 1 species
CCUACGGGUGGCUGCAGUGGGGAAUAUUGCGCAAUGGGCGAAAGCCUGACGCAGCGACGCCGCGUGGGUGAUGAAGGCCUUCGGGUUGUAAAGCCCUGUCGGGUGGAACGAACGAUCUGGCGGCGAAUAACCGCCGGGUGUGACGGUACCACCGAAGGAAGCCCCGGCUAACUACGUGCCAGCAGCCGCGGUAAAACGUAGGGGGCGAGCGUUGUGCGGAUUUACUGGGCGUAAAGCGAGCGUAGGCGGCUUAACCGCGGUGCCGGGUUCGAUACUGUCUGGCUUGAGUCUAGGAGAGGAAGGUGGAAUUCCCAGUGUAGCGGUGAAAUGCGUAGAUAUUGGGAGGAACACCGGUGGCGAAGGCGGCUUUCCGGACUAGUACUGACGCUGAGGCGCGAAAGCUAGGGGAGCGAACGGGAUUAGAUACCCCAGUAGUC